rnacentral:tRNA from 1 species
GCCUGGCUGGCUUAGUUGGUAGAGCAUGUAAUUCUUGAUCUCGGGGUGUGAGUUUGAGUCCCAUGUUGGGUA